GAGUUUGAUCUGGCUCAGAUUGAACGCUGGCGGCAUGCCUUACACAUGCAAGUCGAACGGCAGCAUGAUCUAGCUUGCUAGAUUGAUGGCGAGUGGCGAACGGGUGAGUAAUACAUCGGAACGUGCCCUGUAGUGGGGAUAACUAGUCGAAAGAUUAGCUAAUACCGCAUACGACCUGAGGGUGAAAGUGGGGGACCGCAAGGCCUCAUGCUAUAGGAGCGGCCGAUGUCUGAUUAGCUAGUUGGUGGGGUAAAGGCCCACCAAGGCGACGAUCAGUAGCUGGUCUGAGAGGACGAUCAGCCACACUGGGACUGAGACACGGCCCAGACUCCUACGGGAGGCAGCAGUGGGGAAUUUUGGACAAUGGGGGCAACCCUGAUCCAGCAAUGCCGCGUGUGUGAAGAAGGCCU
rnacentral:rRNA from 1 species